UGUAGCCGAGGAGGUCACUGCUGUGUCCCCACCUUUGGAGGAGGAGGCCUUUGUGAGAGGGGAUAGUGUUAUGGUUGAGCCUUCUGGCUCCGGUACUACGAGACGGGGUCGUAAGACUCCUCGAGAGUCAGACUCUUUUGAGGAGCGUGAAAGGAAACGGCUCCGGGACUUAUUUGCAGGACCAACAGAUGAAGACUCCUUUGAGGGUUUUACCGAGGGAAUGGAGGAAGAGAUGGUUAGCUCAGAGGAGGAUGACAUGGAGUGGACUCGUGUGAGGGAGGAUUUGGGUGUCACCGGCAAUGAUAGCAUGGGAGGCGAUUGGCGGGUUGCAGGAUCAGACCCAUGGACGGGCUGGAGGGAUGGAGCGGGAUCCACAGCUGGGGAUGCUGUGGGGCGUAGUCAAAGGUGUUUUAGCUCUGAUGAGGAUGAUGAUGAGGAGGCACCUGGAAUUAGGAUAGCAGCUGACAGCGAUGAGGAGUUAUGAACUGGGAUAAAAUGGGGUUUAGGAUCAAUGGCUAAUUGCGUUGGGCAAGGUAAUCUGGACGAACGCUUGGGCUCUUGUUGGGGAACUUCCUGAAGACGGGUGUGAUUCGUUGCUGGAUACCUUGGACCUCCGUCGUCUUUUUGACGGACAUUAAUUACCUACUCUGGAUUGACGCUGGACUGACUGACUGACUACGACCUUGGACUAUCCCUUCUGUGGCUAUCGGUGGAACUUGUGGAACUUUAGACGUCUGCACUUGGCUUUCGACCUUGGACCGGAUUGGGACCCUGCUGACCGCCGUUACCCUGAUUGAUGUGCCUGGACCCGGAUUUUGCUCGUUGCACGGAGGAGUAAACAGCCUGAGUUACUCAUCUGUAGCUUUUGAGUAGCAGAGAGGAAUCUGCUGCCAGUUUUUGUGUUCAUUUUGACCUCUGUUUACCAACUUUUGUUUGUUUAAAUUGUCAGGCUGAAGUAAGCACGUUUGCUUUAAUCUGGAUUAAACUCCUGUUUAAUCCGGUUUAUCCUUUCGAACCGUUUUAAUUCAAACGGAGCUGUUUCUGUUACUUUUCACACUGAAGACAAGUGUUUGCCUAGUCCUUUGCUUCCUACGGGCAUUUUUUAGUUCUGUAACUUUAAUAAACUGUGUUGUACUCUA